AGGUGUGCCGGCCUUGGAUUUUUCGUCGGCGAGCCAGGGAAUGACGCCGAUUCGACAAAUAAGUUUCAACCCUCUGCCAUCUCUCGUGAUCCCUGCUACAAGAGAUUUUGCAGUACAUUAUCGGUACCUGAUCAUUCGUGACGUUCCAGAGGCUCUGAAUGUGCAACUUAACAGACUGAGCAUUUGUGACGUGCCAGAGGCCAAUUCUGCUGACCGAAGCACGAAUGCAAGACCAUCUUUGCCCCAACCUUUGAC